CAGAGACAGGUCAUUAAGGAGCAGGUAGGGGUUAGACAGUACAGAGACAGGUCAUUAAGGAGCGGGUAGGGGUUAGACAGUACAGAGACAGGUCAUUAAGGAGCAGGUAGGGGUUAGACAGUACAGAGACAGGUCAUUAAGGAGCAGGUAGGGGUUAGACAGUACAGAGACAGGUCAUUAAGGAGCAGGUAGGGGUUAGACAGUACAGAGACAGGUCAUUAAGGAGCGGGUAGGGGUUAGACAGUACAGAGACAUGUCAUUAAGGAGCAGGUAGGGGUUAGACAGUACAGAGACAUGUCAUUAAGGAGCAGGUAGGGGUUAGACAGUACAGAGACAGGUCAUUAAGGAGCGGGUAGGUGUUAGACAGUACAGAGACAGGUCAUUAAGGAGCAGGUAGGGGUUAGACAGUACAGA
ensembl:lncRNA